rnacentral:rRNA from 1 species
UGAGCUAGUUGGUGAGGUAAAGGCUUACCAAGGCGACGAUCUGUAGCGGGUCUGAGAGGAUGAUCCGCCACACUGGAACUGAGACACGGUCCAGACUCCUACGGGAGGCAGCAGUGGGGAAUUUUGGACAAUGGGGGCAACCCUGAUCCAGCCAUGCCGCGUGAGUGAAGAAGGCCUUCGGGUUGUAAAGCUCUUUCGGCCGGGAAGAAAUCGCAUAGGCCAAUACCCUGUGUGGAUGACGGUACCGGAAUAAGAAGCACCGGCUAACUACGUGCCAGCAGCCGCGGUAAUACGUAGGGUGCGAGCGUUAAUCGGAAUUACUGGGCGUAAAGCGUGCGCAGGCGGUUUUGUAAGACAGGCGUGAAAUCCCCGGGCUUAACCUGGGAACUGCGUUUGUGACUGCAAGGCUAGAGUACGGCAGAGGGGGGUGGAAUUCCACGUGUAGCAGUGAAAUGCGUAGAGAUGUGGAGGAACACCAAUGGCGGAGGCAGCCCCCUGGGUCGAUACUGACGCUCAUGCACGAAAGCGUGGGUAGCAAACAGGAUUAGAUACCCUGGUAGUCCACGCCCUAAACUAUGUCAACUAGGUGUUGGGUGGGUAAAACCAUUUAGUACCGUAGCUAACGCGUGAAGUUGACCGCCUGGGGAGUACGGCCGCAAGGUUAAAACUCAAAGGAAUUGACGGGGACCCGCACAAGCGGUGGAUGAUGUGGAUUAAUUCGAUGCAACGCGAAAAACCUUACCUACCCUUGACAUGCCAGGAACUUGCCAGAGAUGGCUUGGUGCCCGAAAGGGAGCCUGGACACAGGUGCUGCAUGGCUGUCGUCAGCUCGUGUCGUGAGAUGUUGGGUUAAGUCCCGCAACGAGCGCAACCCUUGUCGUUAAUUGCCAUCAUUUGGUUGGGCACUUUAACGAGACUGCCGGUGACAAACCGGAGGAAGGUGGGGAUGACGUCAAGUCCUCAUGGCCCUUAUGGGUAGGGCUUCACACGUCAUACAAUGGUCGGUACAAAGGGUUGCCAAGCCGCGAGGCGGAGCCAAUCCCAGAAAGCCGAUCGUAGUCCGGAUUGCAGGCUGCAACUCGCCUGCAUGAAGUCGGAAUCGCUAGUAAUCGUGGAUCAGCAUGUCACGGUGAAUACGUUCCCGGGUCUUGUACACACCGCCCGUCACACCAUGGGAGCGGGUUCCGCCAGAAGUAGGUAGCCUAACCGCAAGGGGGGCGCUUACC